rnacentral:rRNA from 1 species
GAUGAACGCUAGCGGCAGGCUUAAUACAUGCAAGUCGAACGGUAACAGGCCUGGCAACAGGUGCUGACGAGUGGCGCACGGGUGCGUAACACGUAUGCAACUUACCCUUUACUGGGGCAUAACCCUGAGAAAUCGGGGCUAAUACCCCAUGGUAUUACAAAUAGGCAUCUAUUGUGUAAUUAAAGAUUUAUCGGUAAAGGAUGGGCAUGCGCCCCAUUAGUUAGUUGGUAAGGUAACGGCUUACCAAGGCGAUGAUGGGUAGGGGAUCUGAGAGGAUUAUCCCCCACACUGGUACUGAGACACGGACCAGACUCCUACGGGAGGCAGCAGUAAGGAAUAUUGGGCAAUGGAGGCAACUCUGACCCAGCCAUGCCGCGUGCAGGAAGACGGCCUUAUGGGUUGUAAACUGCUUUUCUGUGGGACUAAUUGUCCUCACGAGUUGAGGAUUUGCAGGUACCGCAGGAAUAAGCAUCGGCUAACUCCGUGCCAGCAGCCGCGGUAAUACGGAGGAUGCGAGCGUUAUCCGGAAUUAUUGGGUUUAAAGGGUGCG